rnacentral:snRNA from 1 species
AGAAAUAUCUAGCCAUGAGAUACUAUAAUCAUGAAGGUGGUUUUCCUAGUGCGAGCCUUCUGCAUUGCACUCCAGAUGUGCAGACACCUUCAAUUUCCUCAAGUGUAGGUAACUCAACUGCAUUACUUGUGGUGCUGGGGGACUGAGUUUGCUUUCUCCCUUG